AACGAACGCUGGCGGCAUGCCUAACACAUGCAAGUCGAACGAAGGCUUCGGCCUUAGUGGCGCACGGGUGCGUAACGCGUGGGAAUCUGCCCCUCGGUUCGGAAUAACAGUUAGAAAUGACUGCUAAUACCGGAUGAUGACUUCGGUCCAAAGAUUUAUCGCCGAGGGAUGAGCCCGCGUAAGAUUAGGUAGUUGGUGGGGUAAAGGCCUACCAAGCCGACGAUCUUUAGCUGGUCUGAGAGGAUGAUCAGCCACACUGGGACUGAGACACGGCCCAGACGCCUCCGGGAGGCAGCAGUGGGGAAUAUUGGAAAAUGGGAGAAAGCCUGAUCCAGCAAUGCCGCGGGAGUGAUGAAGGCCUUAGGGUUGUAAAGCUCUUUUACCAGGGAUGAUAAGGACAGUACCUGGAGAAUAAGCUCCGGCUAACUCCGUGCCAGCCCCCGCAGUAA
rnacentral:rRNA from 1 species